GACGAACGCUGGCGGCGUGCUUAACACAUGCCAGUCGAACGGAAAGGCCCUGCUUUUGUGGGGUGCUCGAGUGGCGAACGGGUGAGUAACACGUGAGUAACCUGCCCUUGACUUUGGGAUAACUUCAGGAAACUGGGGCUAAUACCGGAUAGGAGCUCCUGCUGCAUGGUGGGGGUUGGAAAGUUUCGGCGGUAGGGGAUGGACUCGCGGCUUAUCAGCUUGUUGGUGGGGUAGUGGCUUACCAAGGCUUUGACGGGUAGCCGGCCUGGGAGGUUGACCGGCCACAUUGGGACUGAGAUACGGACCAGACUCCUACGGGAGGCAGCAGUGGGGAAUAUUGCACAGUGGGCGGAAGCCUGAUGCAGCAACGCCGCGUGCGGGAUGACGGCCUUCGGGUUGUAAACCGCUUUCGCCUGUGACGAAGCGUGAGUGACGGUAAUGGGUAAAGAAGCACCGGCUAACUACGUG
rnacentral:rRNA from 1 species